rnacentral:rRNA from 1 species
UGGGGAAUAUUGGGCAAUGGGCGCAAGCCUGACCCAGCAACGCCGCGUGAAGGAAGAAGGCUUUCGGGUUGUAAACUUCUUUUAAGAGGGAAGAGCAGAAGACGGUACCUCUUGAAUAAGCCACGGCUAACUACGUGCCAGCAGCCGCGGUAAUACGUAGGUGGCAAGCGUUGUCCGGAUUUACUGGGUGUAAAGGGCGUGCAGCCGGGAAGACAAGUCAGAUGUGAAAUCCGCGGCUCAACCGCGGAACUGCAUUUGAAACUGUUUUUCUUGAGUACCGGAGAGGUCAUCGGAAUUCCUUGUGUAGCGGUGAAAUGCGUAGAUAUUAGGAGGAACACCAGUGGCGAAGGCGGCUUACUGGACGGUAACUGACGUUGAGGCUCGAAAGCGUGGGGAGCAAACAGGAUUAGAUACC